rnacentral:rRNA from 1 species
CAAACUGGGAUUAGAGACCCUACUAUGCUUGGCCCUAAACCUCAGUAGUUAGAUAACAAAACUACUCGCCAGAAUACUACAAGCAACAGCUUAAAACUCAAAGGACUUGACGGUGCUUUACACCCCCUAAAAGAACCUGGUCCCUAAUCCAUAAACCCCGAUCCACCCCCCCCUCUCUUGGUUAACCUAUAUACCGCCCUCUUUCACAAACCCUGAUAAAGGUCACAAAGUGAGCGCAAACGCCCCUACCGCGAAAACGUUAGGUCAAGGGGUAACCUAUGAGACGGGAAAAAAUGGGCUACAUUUUUUGUCUCAAAAAAUUCUACAAAAACCCUUAUGAAAUCUAAAGGUCCAAGGAGGAUUUAUCAGUAAAUUAAAAAAAAAGUGCUUAAUUGAACCAGGCCAUAAAGUGCGCACACACCCCCCGUCACUCCUCUCAAA